ensembl:lncRNA
GGGAGAGAGUGAGGGAGGAGGGGAGAGAGUGAGGGAGGAGGGGAGAGAGGAGAAGGGGAGAGAGUGAGGGAGGAGGGGAGAGAGUGAGGGAGGAGGGGAGAGAGAGGGGAGAGAGUGAGUGAGGGAGGAGGGGAGAGAGUGAGGGAGGAGGGGAGAGAGUGAGGGAGGAGGGGAGAGAGUGAGGGAGGAGGGGAGAGGAGUGAGGGAGGAGGGGAGAGAGAGUGAGGGAGGAGGGGAGAGAGUGAGGGAGGAGGGGAGAGAGUGAGGGAGGACGGGAGAGGAGUGAGGGAGGAGGGGGAGAGGAGUGAGGGAGGAGGGGAGAGGAGUGGAGAGGUAGAAGGGGGAGAGAGUGAGGGAGGAGGGGAGAGGUAGAAGGGGGAGAGAGUGAGGGAGGAGGGGAGAGAGUGAGGGA